rnacentral:rRNA from 1 species
GCACAAGCGGUGGAGUAUUGUUGUUUAAUUCGAAGAUACACGAAGAACCUUUACCAGGUCUUUGACAUACCAUUGACAGGUGUAGAGAUACACUCUCCUUCGGGCAAUGGAUACAGGUGGUGCAUGGUUGUCGUCAGCUCGUGCCGUGAGGUGUUGGGUUAAGUCCCGCAACGAGCGCAACCCUCAUUGUUAGUUACUACCAUUCAGUUGAGGACUCUAAUGAGACUGCCAACGACAAGUUGGAGGAAGGUGGGGAUGACGUCAAAUCAUCAUGCCCUUUAUGACCUGGGCUACAAACGUACUACAAUGGCCAAUACAAAGAGAUGCGAAGCGGUGACGUGAAGCGAACCUCAGAAAGUUGGUCUCAGUUCAGAUUGAAGUCUGCAACUCGACUUCAUGAAGGCGGAAUCGCUAGUAAUCGCGGGUCAGCAGACCGCGGUGAAUACGUUCCCGGGUUU